GACGAACGCUGGCGGCGUGCUUAACACAUGCAAGUCGAACGGAAAGGCCCUGCUUUUGUGGGGUGCUCGAGUGGCGAACGGGUGAGUAACACGUGAGUAACCUGCCCUUGACUUUGGGAUAACUUCAGGAAACUGGGGCUAAUACCGGAUAGGAGCUCCUGCUGCAUGGUGGGGGUUGGAAAGUUUCGGCGGUUGGGGAUGGACUCGAGGCUUAUCAGCUUGUUGGUGGGGUAGUGGCUUACCAAGGCUUUGACGGGUAGCCGGCCUGAGAGGGUGACCGGCGACAUUGGGACUGAGAUACGGCCCAGACUCCUACGGGAGGCAGCAGUGGGGAGUAUUGCACAAUGGGCGGAAGCCUGAUGCAGCAACGCCGCGUGCGGGAUGACGGCCUUCGGGUUGUAAACCGCUUUCGCCUGUGACGAAGCGUGAGUGACGGUAAUGGGUAAAGAAGCACCGGCUAACUACGUG
rnacentral:rRNA from 1 species